UGUGUGUGUGUGUAUGUAUACAUUCUUGAGGGAAAUGGAGAUUAUAUUCUCUUCCUGGGCUUUUGGGCCCUAGGGAAUCUAGAAACUUGACUACUCAUGUUUGUAAAAUGCCGGGAAAUUGUAUGACAAUCAACUGGUACCUCCAACCCACGGUGGUUACAUCUCAAGGGGGGUGAGGGGCAUGACCCUGAUGAGCUGAACUCCCAGGAUCCUUUCAACACCAGCAAGCAACUGAACUCGGAAGGCAAUGGCUGGAGAGAAACAGGCAGAGGAAGGACUGAAGGACAGAAGGACAUGUCCCCGAUCGCCUACCUCGCAACAGUUCCCAAGAGAUGCUCUCUGAGCCACCUCUGUGGAAAACAACAACUUAGAAAAGACAGAAGUGAAUUGAAAGACCUUUUCCAGGUUUGGGGCCAAGAGACUCUCAGAAUAGUCUCGACAAACAGGUCCAUGCUCUGAGGCGUCAGUGAUAACAUGAAUGAAGACAGAUAGCAGGAAUUCUCCAACUUUACAGGACACUCAACGUCCCUAUAAUUAAGGCCUAUUCAGGUUGAUGCUUUCGACAAUCAUAUUUUGUCCCUCGCGAUCGUCUUGCCGGCAAGAACAACACAGGACACUCGGAUCCUUCUGCAGUAAAGCUUUUAUGCGUCUUGAGAGAGAGAACAUAAGCUUACAAAAGCGGAGACCCCGAGCCAAGAAUCCCGUCCCCUAAUAAAGGCUCACAAACUCUGAGCGAUGCGUGUACA
rnacentral:lncRNA from 1 species